rnacentral:tRNA from 2 species
AGUGAAGUCAGCUAAUUAAGCUCUUGGGCCCAUACCCCGAAAAUGUUGGUAUAAACCUUCCUUCACUA